UGGCGACCGGCGCACGGGUGAGUAACGCGUAUCCAACCUACCUAUUACCACGGGAUAACCCGGCGAAAGUCGGACUAAUACCGUAUGUUGUCCUCCAAUGGCAUCAGCAGUGGACUAAAGGUUUAGCGGUAAUAGAUGGGGAUGCGUCCGAUUAGCUAGUUGGUGAGGUAAUGGCUCCCCAAGGCUUCGAUCGGUAGGGGUUCUGAGAGGAAGGUCCCCCACACUGGAACUGAGACACGGUCCAGACUCC
rnacentral:rRNA from 1 species